GAAAAAAAAAAAAUCACUGCAAUGAUGCACCGGAGGGGAAUCGGGGUUCUUGUGCAGAGUUGGAGAGGCUUAAUUAAUUUACAUUACAUGCACUUCACGUAACGUUCCUAAGCAAUGUCUUUCGUGAUUGUUUUUUUCCCCUUCCUCGAACUGUGACCUAAAAAUAGCAACAUAGUUUUGAUCGUGCGCCAGAAAUAGACAGACGGGUAUCGCUUGUAUAAAAAGGGAGGCGAUCCUGGGCAAACUUGGACGUGCCACUGUAAGCCUACAUCACAACAAAUGGAGGACUUAAUCUGUUGCAUUUCUUCCCCUCUCUUGUUGCUGUUUUUUUCCACUGACAUCUCAAUCUUUUUCUGUGUUUCUCUUUCUCCCCAGUUUAGGACAAGGAUGUGCCCUGCAUCAUGAGGAGUCGUUUACUAGAGGAGCAGCUGCGGAGGAGGAAGAGGAGAAGAGGAGAGGAAGGAGUGAAGUGGUCGAGCUGUUGCUGCAGCAGAGACCGGGCGCAUCGCGUGGGGAAACCCGGGAGCUGUCCAGCAGCAAUGGAGGGAACCAUCACAAAAAGGACGUCCGUGACUUCUGUCCCGGGGUCGAACCUUCUUCCUCUGCUGCUGCUGCUGAUGUUGGAGCCUCCAACUGUGCGCCGGAGGUAAAAGUUGGGACCCACACUUUUGGAUGUUUUCACCGAGGAGUGCACAGAUAGAAAGAGGGACACCGAUCGAUCUUCCCGACCUUCCUCCUCGUCGUCUUUGUCCUCUCCUGCUUCCUCAUCCCGAGAAAGGACCAAAAUGACGAUGGUGAGAGGAAAUAACCCAGAAUACUGCAAAACAGCAACUCAAAAUCUAGGGAAUGUCUAGGGAAGAUCAAGGGAAGGUGAAUGAGAAGAUCUAUAGAUGAGGUGGAUGAUGAUGUGACAGAAGACUGCUGCACAUGGAGGACACUCACAUUCAGGCAAUGACGAGAGACCUCAAAAACAUACAUCAAGCCUAUACAAUCUAUAGAUGAGGUGGAUGAUGAUGUGACAGAAGACUGCUGCACAUGGAGGACACUCACAUUCAGGCAAUGACGAGAGACCUCAAAAACAUACAUCAAGCCUAUACAGGCUGCGAGGGGUCCACGUGAAGGUGGGCUCACCAAACGUCCGAUAGGUGUGUGUGUGUGUGUGUGUGUGUGUGUGUGUGUUGUUACAUUGAAAAAACUGCCUGUAAUAUGACAAAUGUUUGCUGUUGUUGGUUUUGUUUUUUGUUGUUGUUUUUUUUUUACAUUAAAAUGAAUUUUAGGUGCAAAUAUUUGAGAUUACAAAAAUAUUUAUUGUUUACAAAGUUUGUUUUGUGAAAAAGUACACCAUGUAAAUUAAUUUUACCCUGUACCUUGUAAGAUCUAAACGAGGGACUCAAACAUAUAAUUUAAUCUAAUUUAAUUUAAUUUAAUUUAAUUUAAUUUAAUUCUGUUCAAAAUUGUUGCACAACGUGCUUCUGCUGCUUCCUCUCGGUGCCACUUCGAUCCCUCCACUUGUGUCAGAGAAUACCAGCAGCUGCAUGAAGACUGUCUGCAUGUGGACUUAGUUUUAUACUCUGUGCUCUCUGCUGAGUACAUGACAGUCUUUGCUUUGUGUCACACAGCCUCGGUUUGUCAGAAAUCCAUGUUAACUUUGUGUGUGUGUGUGUGAGAGAGAGAGAGAAAGAAAGAGAGGGAGCCAGAGAGGGGGAGCAUGGCGGAGUCUUCAGGAAUGCUGCUGCUGCAAACAGCGUCUGUGGGUCGGAGAGGGGAACAGAGCACACACACACACACUUGCAGCUGGAGUGUAAAUCGUAACAGUGGAUUUUGCUGCAACACUCUUUAUGUUUAUUUUUGACACAUUUUUAAAAACAAUCAGUGAAAUAAAACCAUGGAAAUCCA